rnacentral:rRNA from 1 species
UACGUAGGGUGCAAGCGUUGUCCGGAAUUAUUGGGCGUAAAGGAGUCUGUGGGCGGUUUGUCGCGUCUGCUGUGAAAUUUCGGGGCUCAACCCCGAACUUGCAGUGGGUACGGGCAGACUAGAGUGUGGUAGGGGAGACUGGAAUUCCUGGUGUAGCGGUGAAAUGCGCAGAUAUCAGGAGGAACACCGAUGGCGAAGGCAGGUCUCUGGGCCAUAACUGACGCUGAGAAGCGAAAGCAUGGGGAGCGAACAGG